rnacentral:sRNA from 1 species
AUAUGAUAUGGGACAAAAUACAGCACUUAAAGAGAGGUGUUGCUCAGGCCAGCCACUAUAAUCCACCCAUCAGCCAGAACAUUUUAUUUCUUCUAAAUGGCACUUGAGCAACAUUGGUUUCUUUGAAAAGAAUGAACUUGAGAAUGCAACUCCCAGGACCAGAAAAGAAUGAAAUUGGGCCAGUGCUUGCAUGGUCCUGCUGCUGCUCACUGCACUUUGCUUCAAAUUCUUACAUUUGCUCUCAUUUCUACAUGGCAGGUACUUGGUUCUCUCUCUCUCUCUCCCUCUUUCUCUGUGUGUGUUUAUAAUUUUUUUUUUUUUUUUUUACAGAGAAAUAAAACUAAACUAAAAAUUUUUUUUUUCCUUUUUUUGAGGUAAGGUCUCACUCUUCUGCCCAAACUGGAGUGAGUGGCACGAUCAUGGCUCACUACAGCCUUGACUUCCUGGGCUCAAGCAGUCCUCCCACCUCAUCCUCCCCAGUAGCUGGGACCAUAGGUCCACACCAUUGUGCCUGGCUUUUUUUUUUUUUUUGGUAGUGACCCGGGUCUCACUAUGUUGCCCAGGCUGGUCUUGAACUCCUAGUUCAAGCAGUCCUCUCACCUUGGCCUCCCAAAGUGCUGAGAUUACAGGCAUAAGCCACCCAGCCCUGCACUGAAAGUUUUUUAAAAUUAAACUAAAGGCUGAGCCUACUCAAGAUCAUGUACCUAGUCACUGGGAGGGUGACUGGUUCAGUGUAUGCAUUUUGAGGAUCAAAGCAUCAGCACAGAGUACCCAAUAGGCUGUUUAAAAAAAUAAAUAAAUAAAUAAAACAAUAGGACAGGGCUUUCUAAAAACCCAACAUCCAGAUAUAGGGAACAUUCAGAAAUAAAUAUCUGCCCCCAAACUGCCAGCCUCUCAGACUUUCAAAUGGAAUGAGGAUAUGCAGGUUAAGUUUCUCCUCUCUUAUCAAUCAUUCAUCUUCCAAUCUUCAGUUGAGUGUAGGUUAUGGGAGAAUCUGGGAGGAUGUUGGUUGGGUCUUCUGGAAGGAGAAGCUUUGGACUCAGCUGGUAAGAAAGGUAAUGAUGGUACAGACUGAGACAUGGCCUACUAUGGCCGGGAAUCACCCUCUGCCCGCGAAAAGUCUCCUGUGUUCAUCCUGUGCUGCCCGCUGUGGACGCCAGGUCCCUUCCGAGCAGCCAGCAGAGCAGACGCGACUCACCCUUCCUGCUUCUGGGAGCCUGUGAAGAGUCUCAUAACAGCCCUUUUUACUCUUCUUUUCCUUAACUAUGGUUUACAGAAACUCAUCACUGCUAUAUAUGCAGAUUAUGCCCGGAGUUUGAAGAACCUCGGUUUUAAGCAGGGAGCAGUUCUCUUUGCUUCAAAAGCCGGAGCAGCUGGCAAAGACUUACUGAAUGAGCUUGAGUCCCCCAAGGAAGAACCCAUUGAAGAGUGACAGCUUAAUAAAUGCCAGGGAAUCUGACCUGGAAGGCAGAUGGGAGGGGGCUGGUCUGGCUGUGGCCACUGUCACAGUCCAGGAUGAAGAGGAGUACAGGGUCCUGUGAGCUGUUUGACCACUGUUCUAAGACUAUGUGUGCCCAAAAGCACAUGAGCCUCUAUGUUGAGAGUAAGUCUGUAUCCUGCAUUGGUCUCAGAAAGAAUGUGAAUGCUUAAGAUUUUGAAAGUACAUAAUAUUUUAUACUUUGGGAGAGAGCUUUAAGAGUCCCUGGAAAUACUUUUUAAUUUUUUUAACUUACAAUUCAAGAGACUGAAUCACUUUUCUCAUUGAUUAAAUGUAAAGAUUAUUGAGAAACCUAUAGUAAAUGAAAUUUGUGAGAUGUUUUCUCAAAUAUAUGCUGUGCCUGUACUUAUAUACAGUCUUUCAAGAUACAAACAAGGCAGAAACAUUUAAACUAGUAUUAAAGGUAGUUUACCAAAGCAUUUUUUGUUUUCUUACCUUGAAAACACAGAACCGUUAAUUCCUUGGUUUAAGCAGUCACUAAGUUUUGUAAUUUUAGGCUCAGAGGCCCAUAGGAGGUUUUAAGAUUUAUGUUUAGUCCGAUAGGUGAGGUCUUUGAUAUUUUGAAUUUUAACUCCUUUUAUGAUACAUCACAGUAACCUCAUUUUUGAAGUCUUUGUACUUUAAUGUUCUCUCUGUUCUAAUAGUUGAAGUAUGAGAUGAGAUGUAACUAUUAUAAACUGUUGCUGAAAACAUAAAUGUCUGUAACUUACAAACAUGAUAAAUAAAUUAAAAAUUCCAUCC